GGUCCGAUAGCUCAACUGGAUAGAGCAUCACCCUUCUAAGGUGGCGGUUCGGGGUUCGACUCCCUGUCGGAUCAC
rnacentral:tRNA from 1 species